rnacentral:rRNA from 1 species
UGCGUAGGCGGCUUUGUAUGUCGGAUGUGAAAUCUCACUUUUCAUGGGUGAAACUGCAUUCGAAACUGCAGAGCUAGAGUACGGAAGAGGAGAGCGGAAUUCUUGGUGUAGCGGUGAAAUGCGUAGAUAUCAAGAGGAACACCGGUGGCGAAGGCGGCUCUCUGGAACGAUACUGACGCUGAGGCACGAAAGCUGGGGGAGCAAACAGGAUUAGAUACCCUGGUAGUCC